rnacentral:lncRNA from 1 species
GCCACUAUUAGUGAGUAUUAUGACUGUUGUAUUAGUCUGUUCUCAUGCUGCUAAUAAAGACAUACCCCAGACUGAAUAAUUUAUCAAGAAAAACAGAUUUAAUGGAGUCACAGUUCCAAGUGGCUAUAGAGGCCUCACAAUCAUGCUGGAAGGCAAAGGAAGAGCAAAGUCAUGUCUUACAUAGUGGGAGGCAAGAGAGCUUGUGUAGGAGAACUCCCCUUUAUAAAAUCAUCAGAUCUUGUGAAUUUUUUCCAAUAGGUUUCUUUUUCAUUCAUUUUCAUCCAUUUUUUUCAGCUUCUCUAACAAUAAUAAUCACCAUUAGCUGAGGCAGACACUUUGUUAUGCAGAAAUUCCUUUUAUUUUUCAAAUAGUUCUGGCAGAUAGAUACUAUUAUAGUAAUUCUUUCGUGGAUUAGGCAUAAAGAGUUUAAGUUAUUUACAUAAGAUCAUACAGCCAGGAAGUGUAAACAGAACAUCCUGCAUUGCAGUGGUAUAAGCAUUACCAGUUAAUUGCCUAACAUCAUAGUUCUCUCCAUAACAGAUAUCAGAAUUAUAAUGAUUUUCCUGCUCCUGUCCCUCAAAUAGCUCUCAUAAUGUAAUUUCCCUCAGGAUUUUUUUCAAUACUUCCUACUUACUAACACAAAAAUAUUCAUCACUACUUAUAGGCUAAAGAGGUAAGACAUUUUCAUUUACAUAAGAGCCUCUUGAAAAUAAUUACUUAGCCUAAAUGAAUGACUCUAGUGGAAGAUAUUCAGGUGGGCCCUUGAAAAAAUGAUAUUGUGUACAUGAAAAUCUUUGGAAAAAUAUAUUAGGAGGACAUCAUCUUCAGUUUUAUACUGGAAAUAUACAAAAUCCGCUCCCCAUUUAACCAAAAUAUUAAAAGAAAAGAAUUGCCUUUUUGGAUAUUUGGGAUCAAAUAAAAAUGGGGUUGGGGGAGGGAGAGCAUUAGGAAAAAUUGUUAAAGUAUGCUGGGCUUAAUACCUAGGUAAUGAGUUGAUAGGUGCAAGCAAACAACCAUGGCACAGAUUUACCAUGUAACAAACCAGCACAUCCUGCACAUGUACCCCAGAACUUAAAUAAAAUAAAAAUUAAAAAUAAUUCAGAUUCAAAAGGUUACUUUAUGAGUCAUAGGCUAUUUUUUGGGACAGGGUCUCACUUUGUUGCCCAGGCUGGAGUGCAAUGGCACAAUUACGGCUCACUGCAGGCUUGACUUCUGUCCCAGGCUUAAGUAAUCCUUCUUUCUACAUCAGCCUUCUGAGUAGCUAGGACCACAGGCAUGUACCACCACAACUGCCUAUUUUUAAAAUUGCUUUAUAAAAAUGGAAUCUCCCCAUGUUGCCCAGGCUGUCAUAGACUAUUCUUUUUUAUUUAUUUAACUUUUAUUUUAGGUUCAUGGGUCUAUGUGCAGGUUUGUUAACCUAGAUAAAUUUCAUGUCAAAAUAGGGAUUUGGUGUACAGAUUAUCUUGUCACUCAGGUAAUAAACAUAGUACCUGAUGAGUAGUUUUUCACCCUCUUCCCAUCCUCCAACCUCAAGUACACUCUGGUGUUUGUUGUUUCCUUUUUCAUGCCCGUGGUGUAGUUUUUAUGUCCUUUUGGUGUAGCUCCCACAUGUAAGUGAGAACAAGUGGUAUUUGGUUUUCUGUUCCUGUGCUAGUUUGCUUAGGAUAGUGACCUCCUACUUCAUCCAUGUUUCUACAAAGGACAUGAUCUCAUUCAAUUUUACGACUGCAUAAUAUUUCAUUGUAUAUAUGUACCACAUUUGCUUUAUUCAGUCUACCAUUAAUGGGCAUUUAGGUUGAUUACUUGUCUUUGCUAUUGUAAAUAGUGCUGUGAUGAACAUACAUGUGCAUAUAUCUUUAUAGGAGAAUGAUUUAUAUUCCAUUGGUAUAUGCCCGAUAAUAGGCUUUUUGGGGGCAAUUAUAGUUCUAUUUUAAGUUUUUUGAGAAAUUCCCUAACUGCUUUACACAAUGAUUUUAUAAUCACUACCAGCAGUAUAUAAAUUUCCGUUCUCCAUAACCUUGUCAGUUUCUCUAGUGAGGUAGGGAAGAUUUUCAUGAACGAUAUUCUGAACUAUGUUUUCCAAGUUGCUUGUUUUAUAUCUCCAUUUUUUUCGGCCACCAAUGACAUAUAAAUUUUAUUUUUUACAUAAUCUUGU